rnacentral:miRNA from 7 species
UGCCAAAGGAGAGCUGCCCUG